GGUAAGAUGGCCGAGUGUCAGGUGUUAGGCUGUAGACCUAUUUAUAAAGGUUUAAUUCCUUUUCUUAUCA
rnacentral:tRNA from 1 species